rnacentral:rRNA from 1 species
GACGAACGCUGGCGGCGUGCUUAACACAUGCAAGUCGAACGAAAAGGCCCUGCUUUUGUGGGGUGCUCGAGUGGCGAACGGGUGAGUAACACGUGAGUAACCUGCCCUUGACUUUGGGGUAACUUCAGGAAACUGGGGCUAAUACCGGAUAGGAGCUCCUGCUGCAUGGUGGGGGUUGGAAAGUUUCGGCGGUUGGGGAUGGACUCGCGGCUUAUCAGCUUGUUGGUGGGGUAGUGGCUUACCAAGGCUUUGACGGGUAGCCGGCCUGAGAGGGUGACCGGCCACAUUGGGACUGAGAUACGGCCCAGACUCCUACGGGAGGCAGCAGUGGGGAAUAUUGCACAAUGGGCGGAAGCCUGAUGCAGCAACGCCGCGUGCGGGAUGACGGCCUUCGGGUUGUAAACCGCUUUCGCCUGUGACGAAGCGUGAGUGACGGUAAUGGGUAAAGAAGCACCGGCUAACUACGUG